UGGGCGGAAGCCUGAUCCAGCCAUGCCGCGUGUGUGAAGAAGGCCUUUUGGUUGUAAAGCACUUUAAGCGAGGAGGAGGCUACUAGUACUAAUACUACUGGAUAGUGGACGUUACUCGCAGAAUAAGCACCGGCUAACUCUGUGCCAGCAGCCGCGGUAAUACAGAGGGUGCAGCGUUAAUCGGAUUUACUGGGCGUAAAGCGUGCGUAGGCGGCUGAUUAAGUCGGAUGUGAAAUCCCUGAGCUUAACUUAGGAAUUGCAUUCGAUACUGGUCAGCUAGAGUAUGGGAGAGGAUGGUAGAAUUCCAGGUGUAGCGGUGAAAUGCGUAGAGAUCUGGAGGAAUACCGAUGGCGAAGGCAGCCAUCUGGCCUAAUACUGACGCUGAGGUACGAAAGCAUGGGGAGCAAACAGGAUUAGAUACCCUGGUAGUCCAUGCCGUAAACGAUGUCUACUAGCCGUUGGGGCCUUUGAGGCUUUAGUGGCGCAGCUAACGCGAUAAGUAGACCGCCUGGGGAGUACGGUCGCAAGACUAAAACUCAAAUGAAUUGACGGGGGCCCGCACAAGCGGUGGAGCAUGUGGUUUAAUUCGAUGCAACGCGAAGAACCUUACCUGGCCUUGACAUACUAGAAACUUUCCAGAGAUGGAUUGGUGCCUUCGGGAAUCUAGAUACAGGUGCUGCAUGGCUGUCGUCAGCUCGUGUCGUGAGAUGUUGGGUUAAGUCCCGCAACGAGCGCAACCCUUUUCCUUAUUUGCCAGCGAGUAAUGUCGGGAACUUUAAGGAUACUGCCAGUGACAAACUGGAGGAAGGCGGGGACGACGUCAAGUCAUCAUGGCCCUUACGGCCAGGGCUACACACGUGCUACAAUGGUCGGUACAAAGGGUUGCUACCUAGCGAUAGGAUGCUAAUCUCAAAAAGCCGAUCGUAGUCCGGAUUGGAGUCUGCAACUCGACUCCAUGAAGUCGGAAUCGCUAGUAAUCGCGGAUCAGAAUGCCGCGGUGAAUACGUUCCCGGGCCUUGUACACA
rnacentral:rRNA from 1 species